GUCCGACGUAUGCCGCGUAUUUUGAAAAAGUACGCGUACGGUACAAAUACUCAUAUGGUCUGGAACAUAGACAUCUAUCUAUAUUGUUGAAAACUAUACUAUACUAUGUUGCCUUCUGGAUGUCCUUAGUUUGUUUUUGUCAUUUGGUUGCUGUCUUAUUAACGUAUAACCUACAUUUCCAACAGUUUUGUAUAGCUAAAACG
rnacentral:lncRNA from 1 species